AUGCGAUGCAUUUCUCAAUACUCAGCAAAGUCGGACACAAUCAGCUUCGGUGUUUUGGUUUUGCAGAUCGUCACAGGAAGAAGAAACAAUGGCUCCUGCAACUCCGAGCAAUAUGUCUAUCUCGUAAAUCUUAACAGACCUGAAGAUAGACCGAUGAUGUCGUCGGUGAAUGUCAUGCUUAGCAGCCAGAGUGUUUGCCUUCCUUCUGUUUCCAUGCCAGCCUUCUCUGAUGGAUUGCGUGGAUGUAGUGAUAAUGAUUCAAAAGUGGCGUCCUCAAAUGGAAUGACCAUCACAAAGCUCGAGCCAAGAUGA
rnacentral:rRNA from 1 species